rnacentral:rRNA from 1 species
UACGGAGGGUGCAAGCGUUAUCCGGAUUCACUGGGUUUAAAGGGUGCGUAGGCGGGCAUGUAAGUCCGUGGUGAAAUCUCCGAGCUUAACUCGGAAACUGCCAUGGAUACUAUGUGUCUUGAAUGUUGUGGAGGUGAGCGGAAUAUGUCAUGUAGCGGUGAAAUGCUUAGAUAUGACAUAGAACACCAAUUGCGAAGGCAGCUUACUACGGAUCGAUUGACACUGAGGCACGAAAGCGUGGGGAUCAAACAGG